ACCACUGGAAGUUCCCUACCUUUAUUUAUUAUCAUGAGCGGAAGAAAAAGUGCAGAACUUCAACUACACACAUUACCAAAUUGCAUUAGACAAAUUGAUUGAGCCUGACUUAUGCAACAGGGUUUUGACUAUUUGAAAGAAUGUGUUUGAUCGGGUUCUUGCUCAACAAAAUGAGUAACUUUUGUUUUCUAAGAAAUUAAAUCUCAUAUGAUGGCAGGUGAAGUUCUUUCCGUUAAAAAAACUAAUAGUAGAAGUUUGAAUGGAGACUAUAAGUGUACCACUUUAUUAAAGAAUGUGGACUAUUAGUGCUCCAUGUGAAAGAAAUAGGAUUAAUUUGAGUUAAAAUCCAAAGAUACUGGACUAUUUUGGGCCUUUUCUCCAUACACUAGAAAAAUGGUUCAGAAAAUGAUUGGUCAAUGUAAAAGAUGUUUAGUGAAAAAAAAAAUGGGACACACCUCAUAGCCCAUAAAUGUAGAAUAACAACGCUCAGUAGAAAACCCUAGGACCCAACGAAAUGAACCAUACACAAAUAAUUCACGGCAUAAAUGAACUAAGCAAAGAAUAGACCUGUACAAAGUUCUUUUUUUUCUUGAACUGCAGACACACUGAUUCGGGUAACUAGGGUUUUCCCCAUUUACCUUUCUCAGGAGACAAAGUGGAUGGAAAAAUUAACAGAAUGUGAAGAAUAAUCUAAUGAUAUUACCUUUGAUUUCAGUUUGAUACGGUAGAGAAUCCGAUGAAUAUGACGGGAG
rnacentral:lncRNA from 1 species